rnacentral:rRNA from 1 species
AUUCCCCUAGUAACUGCGAGUGAAGCGGGAAAAGCUCAAAUUUAAAAUCUGGUGGCCUUUGUCCAUCCGAGUUGUAAUUUAGAGAAGCGUCUUCCGCGCUGGACCGUGCACAAGUCUCCUGGAACGGAGCGUCAUAGAGGGUGAGAAUCCCGUCUUUGGCACGGACACACCAGGGCUUUGUGAUGCGCUCUCAAAGAGUCGAGUUGUUUGGGAAUGCAGCUCAAAAUGGGUGGUGAACUCCAUCUAAAGCUAAAUAUUGGCGAGAGACCGAUAGCGAACAAGUACCGUGAGGGAAAGAUGAAAAGCACUUUGGAAAGAGAGUGAAACAGUACGUGAAAUUGUUGAAAGGGAAACGCUUGAAGUCAGUCGCGUCGCCCGAGACUCAGCCUUGCCUCGGCUUGGUGUACUUCUCGGCUGACGGGUCAGCAUCAAUUUUGCCCCUUGGAUAAUGGCGAGGGAAAUGUGACACCUUUACGGGUGUGUUAUAGUCUCUCGUCGCAUGCAAGGGUCGGGAUUGAGGAACUCAGCACGCGCCCUCGGGCGUCGGGGCAUCUGCCCACGAUACGUGCUUAGGAUGUUGGCGUAAUGGCUUUAAACGACCCGUCUUGAAACACGGACCAAGGAGUCUAACAUGCCCGCGAGUGUUCGGGUGGAAAACCCGUGCGCGCAAUGAAAGUGAAAGUUGGGACCUCUGUCGUGGAGGGCACCGACGCCCGGACCAGACCUUCUGUGACGGAUCUGCGGUAGAGCGUGUAUGUUAGGACCCGAAAGAUGGUGAACUAUGCCUGAAUAGGGUGAAGCCAGAGGAAACUCUGGUGGAGGCUCGUAGCGAUUCUGACGUGCAAAUCGAUCGUCAAAUUUGGGUAUAGGGGCGAAAGAC